GUUUAAAUAAUUUAAUAAAAAAUAUUAAUUUUGUAAAUUAAAAAUAAAAAAAAUUUUUUAAACU
rnacentral:tRNA from 1 species